rnacentral:rRNA from 1 species
UCCAGACUCCUACGGGAGGCAGCAGUGGGGGAUAUUGCACAAUGGGGGGAACCCUGAUGCAGCGACGCCGCGUGGGUGAAGGAGCGUUUCGGCGCGUAAAGCCCUAUCGGCAGGGAAGAAGGAGGACGGUACCUGACUAAGAAGCCCCGGCUAACUACGUGCCAGCAGCCGCGGUAAUACGUAGGGGGCAAGCGUUAUCCGGAUUUACUGGGUGUAAAGGGGGCGCAGACGGCAGCGCAAGCCAGGAGUGAAAGCCCGGGGCCCAACCCCGGGACUGCUCUUGGAACUGCGCGGCUGGAGUGCAGGAGGGGCAGGCGGAAUUCCUGGUGUAGCGGUGAAAUGCGUAGAUAUCAGGAGGAACACCGGUGGCGAAGGCGGCCUGCUGGACUGCAACUGACGUUGAGGCCCGAAAGCGUGGGGAGCAAACAGGAUUAGAUACCCGUGUAAA